GCCUGGGUGGCUCAGUUGGAUAAGCAUCUGACUUUGGCUCAGGUCUCACGGUUUGUGGGUUUGAGCCCCACGUUGGGCU
rnacentral:tRNA from 1 species